GUCUCGUAAUUUAUGGGCGCCGGGCGGGCUUAUUUAUUCUGUUUUGAGGCUCCUCCAUAUAUAAGCCUGUUAUCAUUCUUGGAACCUCUUCAUUCGUGAGUUUUGAUCAAGGGAUUACCGUCUCCUCGUCCGACAUCAUGUGUGCGUUUAAGAUUGCCCUCUGUCUGGCCCUCUGCGCCGUGGUCGCCUGCCAAAACCAGGGCGCCAACCAGUUCCAACAACAAGGCCAGCAGCAAAACUUUGAUCAACAACAGCAAUACCAACCUCAGCCUCAACAGCCACAACAGCAGCAGCAGCCGUCAUUCCAGCCCCAGCAACCACAAUCGUUCCAACCACAACAGACGCAACAAUUCCAACCACCGCAAUUCAACUCAUUCCCGCAAUUCCAACAGCAGCAGCAGCCAUUCCAGCAGCAAGAGCAGCCCAACUUCGGCGGCGAGUCAGACGAGAAGCAAGACGACAACCAGUCCCCGCAGCAACAAGAUCAGUCCCCGAGUCCCCAAGGAGGCCAGUCCUUUGGUCAGAACUCCCCGAGCCAACCCCAAAGCAAUUCAUUCCCCUCCUUCCCGUCUUUUGACUCCAACUCCUUCUCCUUCGGCGGUGGAUUCUACAACCAGAAGCCCCUCGGUCUCGGCGACAAGAGAUUCAGCGUCGUCGGCCCUGACGGCUUCACCAGAACCGUAGACUACACCAACGUCUUCAACGACGAGCACGCUGACCUCCCCGCUAACCUUCCCCCAGCGUCCGUCUACAAGUAUGCACCUUACGCCUCCAGCAUCCCGACCUUCUACCGACCUGCCGUUGCUGUCCGACCUGCAGUGACCACCCUCCACGCACCUGCUGUCACCGCCUACCACGCACCCAUCACAACGUACCACGCACCGGCUGUUGUUCCUGCUGCCGUCCAUGCCCCGGUCGUCGCUGCAGUCCGCGCUCCCGUCGUCAGCACGGUCCAUGCUCCGGUCGUCACAGCUGUCCGCCCGCCCGUCGUCAGCACUGUCGCCGCCGCACCGGUUGUAGCAGCCGUUCGCACACCAGUCGUCAGCACUGUCCAUGCUCCGGUUGUUACCGCCGUUCAUCCCCCUGUUGCCUACGCCGCUUACCCUAGGUACCAGUCCGUCUCAUAUGUAGGUUAGUAAGUCUUCUCGCAGUCAAUCUCACUGUGUAUUUAUUCCCGUAUCGAAGUUGUUAUCAGGUGUUAAAUGAUGUUACCAAAAUGAAGUUCCUCGUCCGUUUUUAUAACUAAAUUAUUAAAUUAUUUUUUGAACAAAUUCCGUGUAAUUUUUUCUAUGUGUCUGAUUUUAAGAGAUCUUCCUUUGCGGAUAAAGAAAAAUUAUCCAAAAACAUUUUCUUUUCUUAUACUAAAACAAAAUGCUCUGAGAUUUAAAGAAUAUUUUUUGUGUAAAAUUUGUAACCGUUUUUCAGUAAAGUAAGUUUUUCUUUUUUUUCUUUUUCUUAAUGGGAAUAAAUCUUUAAUAAAUAGAAGUAACGUUUCUUUGAAUUGAAAUUUACUGACAUGACUAUGAAAAAAGUCUCUCUCACUUCAAAAAAGUUUUUCUUAACUUGUAAGGAAAAUUUUUCUUCAUCACAACAGUUUUUAAUCGUUGGGAUCUUAGUUUUAAUUAGAAAAUAUGGAAAUCAUGUCAAGGGGGAGGGGGGGACAUUUAGAAAUAUUUUUAGUGCUACUACGGUAACUUAACUUCUAAACUUGAGCCAAAUAAUAAAAAAACAAAAUGAAAUAAUUUAA
rnacentral:lncRNA from 1 species